rnacentral:rRNA from 1 species
AACGUAGGACACGAGCGUUAUCCGGAGUUACUGGGCGUAAAGAGUGUGUAGGCGGUGCUCUAAGUUCGGUGUGAAAUCUCCCGGCUCAACUGGGAGGGUGCGCCGAAGACUGGAAGGCUCAGAGUGUGGGAGAGGUAAGCGGAAUUCCUGGUGUAGCGGUGAAAUGCGUAGAUAUCAGGAGGAACACCUGCGGUGUAGACGGCUUACUGGACCAUAACUGACGCUGAGGCACGAAAGCGUGGGGAGCAAACAGG